CAUCCCAAUUUCUGCUAGGAAUUCGGAGACUCCCCUGCAGCGACUCGGAAGAUUCGAGGCGGCGGGGGACAAGUCGGCGCCCCAGAGCGGACGAGAUAUUAUCAGAUGCGACACAGCCUCUUGAAAGUCAGAAUUUUUCUCCUGUGGUGAGAGAUGCAGUGAUUACAUCCAACGGUACAUUACCUGAUAAAUAUAAAUAUAUCCAGACACUCCGGGAGAGCAGGAUCUGACAUGAAGAAUCAAAUUGAACAGUUAGGCAAGAAAUAUAAUAUUAAUCCUGUUAGCAUGGACAUUUGUAAACAAGAAGAGAAGCUGGGCUUCUUGGUGGCAAAACAGGAUCUUGUCAUCAGCUUGUUGCCUUAUGUAUUGCACCCUCUUGUGGCCAAGGCCUGCAUCACAAACAAAGUUAACAUGGUCACUGCAAGCUACAUCACACCAGCACUAAAAGAAUUGGAAAAGAGUGUGGAAGAUGCCGGCAUCACAAUCAUUGGUGAAUUGGGAUUGGACCCUGGUCUGGAUCACAUGUUAGCAAUGGAAACAAUAGAUAAAGCCAAGGAAGUGGGAGCCACGAUUGAAUCAUAUAUUUCCUACUGUGGUGGGCUUCCAGCCCCUGAACAUUCAAACAAUCCAUUGAGAUAUAAAUUUAGCUGGAGUCCAGUGGGAGUUUUGAUGAACGUAAUGCAGUCUGCCACCUAUCUGCUCGAUGGAAAGGUUGUGAAUAUUGCAGGAGGCAUCUCCUUUCUUGAUGCCGUUACGUCCAUGGAUUUUUUCCCAGGAUUAAAUUUGGAAGGCUAUCCUAACAGAGACAGUACGAAAUAUGCUGAGAUUUAUGGCAUUUCUUCUGCUCACACUUUGUUGCGGGGGACACUGAGAUAUAAGGGAUAUAUGAAAGCUUUGAAUGGAUUUGUAAAAUUAGGUCUUAUAAACAGAGAAGCGCUUCCUGCCUUUAGACCUGAGGCCAACCCUCUCACCUGGAAACAACUCCUCUGUGACCUAGUUGGGAUUUCACCCUCCUCUGAGCACGAUGUGUUGAAGGAAGCUGUUCUUAAGAAACUAGGAGGAGACAAUACCCAGUUGGAGGCUGCUGAAUGGUUGGGCUUACUUGGGGAUGAACAAGUUCCUCAGGCAGAGUCCAUUCUGGAUGCCCUCUCCAAGCAUUUGGUCAUGAAGCUUUCCUAUGGUCCUGAAGAAAAAGAUAUGAUUGUGAUGAGAGACAGCUUUGGAAUCAGACAUCCUUCUGGACAUUUAGAACAUAAAACGAUUGAUCUUGUGGCUUAUGGGGACAUCAAUGGCUUUUCAGCCAUGGCUAAAACCGUGGGGUUACCCACCGCCAUGGCAGCCAAAAUGUUGCUUGAUGGUGAAAUUGGAGCCAAAGGCCUAAUGGGGCCCUUUUCAAAGGAGAUCUAUGGACCAAUUUUGGAGCGAAUUAAAGCAGAAGGCAUUAUAUAUACUACACAGAGUACAAUUAAACCAUAAUUGGGAAUUAUAUUUUGUUUUUUUCUUCCCAGGCAAUACACCUCUGAACAUGUGUGUGAUAAAUGGGUUUGCUAAUGUGCUGUUUUAAAGUAUAAAGCAUAAUAUGUUUUGGUUAACACAAUGUACUUUUUGAACUAUAAAUCUUUAUUUUAGUAUGGAAAUGUUUGGAACAGGAGAUGCAAGCCACUAACAGAGAACUUUAAUAAUUCUACCCUGUAUUUUAUAAAUACGUAUGUGAAAGUGAUGAUCGUGCUAUUUGUUAAUUUAUUGUGCCACUUUUUUCUUUUGUUUUUUUUUUUUUGUUGUUGUUGUUUUUUGAGACGGAGUCUCACUCUGUCACCC
rnacentral:sRNA from 1 species